UACGUAGGUGGCAAGCGUUGUCCGGAUUUACUGGGUAUAAAGGGAGCGCAGGCGGGAGAGCAAGUCAGCGGUGAAAUACAUGGGCUUAACCCAUGAACUGCCGUUGAAACUGUUUUUCUUGAGUGAAGUAGAGGCAGGCGGAAUUCCGAGUGUAGCGGUGAAAUGCGUAGAUAUUCGGAGGAACACCAGUGGCGAAGGCGGCCUGCUGGGCUUUUACUGACGCUGAGGCUCGAAAGCGUGGGGAGCAAACAGG
rnacentral:rRNA from 1 species